AGAUAAGGAACGUGAAGCACUGGAAAUUCAAGUUAUUUGCCCAAGGUCACAUUACCUAAGCACUGAUAUUGGCUUAUCUUAGCUGGAGCAGAACAUGAUGACACAAACCAGCCUGAGACCUCUCAAGCUAUCUUUAAUUUUCAGUUUAACUUUCAGAAAUUGUGGUAGACAGCAGAUUGUGGAACUUAUCAAUCUCCAUAACCUUAAUUUCUACAAAUUUACCAAUGAAAUUGUGCCUGGCCUCCUUGUGAUCUAAUUCUUGACAUGAGAUCAUUAUGGAGGCUUACAUUCCAGGAAGAGCAAGAAGACUCAUGUCACAGAAGUAUUACUUGGAAGUAAAAAAAUGUGGUGUUGGAUUACACAAGGUAAUGUUUUGCUGCCAGGGAGUUUUGUAGAAAAAAGGAGCUUAAGGGAUUUCACGAUGACAGAUAAAGGAUUAUGGAUCCAUGUCAUAAAUUAAAUGAAGUUAUGGGGAGUAUCCUAAAGAAGUGUUUGGAUUUUUUCCGGGUCACAGAGAUGUCUCAGGACUUGCCUUGGCAGUGCAAUCACCAAUGCAGACAAUGGAGGAGAAAUUACUGGAUCGGGGAGAGAUUAGAGAGUAGUUUAGUGAGUGAUAAAGUCAAUUUUAGUUUGAAUUCAAAGAAACCAAACAAAAAUUAACGGGAAAUAAUUACAACAUGUGUUCCAUGACCUCCUAGAAUGCGUUGCAUUGAAAAGGUCUUUGCAGGGCAGAAAAUAGAAGCUGCAUGAUGUAGACUUCUUCUAGAAUCAGUGAAGGGGUCCUCUCCCUUGAGCUCCCAUCCCAAGAAGCCUCUCAACCUGGAGAGACCUGCUCAACUUCACCUCUGCUAAUUCAGCACUUACUCUUCAGAAUUUCUCAAGCAAUAAGUCUCUGAAUGACUGUGAUGAACAGAAUCCCUCUGCCCCAGCGAUGGAC